AGUGAACGCUGGCGGUAGGCCUAACACAUGCAAGUCGAACGGCAGCACAGUAAGAGCUUGCUCUUACGGGUGGCGAGUGGCGGACGGGUGAGGAAUACAUCGGAAUCUACUUUUUCGUGGGGGAUAACGUAGGGAAACUUACGCUAAUACCGCAUACGACCUACGGGUGAAAGCAGGGGAUCUUCGGACCUUGCGCGAUUGAAUGAGCCGAUGUCGGAUUAGCUAGUUGGCGGGGUAAAGGCCCACCAAGGCGACGAUCCGUAGCUGGUCUGAGAGGAUGAUCAGCCACACUGUAACUGAGACACGGUCCAGACUCCUACGGGAGGCACCAGUGGGGAAUAUUGGACAAUGGGCGCAAGCCUGAUCCAGCCAUACCGCGUGAGUGAAGAAGGCCUUCGGGUUGUAAAUCCCUUUUGUUGGGAAAGAAAAGCAGCAGGUUAAUACCCCGCUGUUCUGACGGUACCCAAAGAAUAAGCACCGGCUAACUUCGUG
rnacentral:rRNA from 1 species